GGCGGGCCUCCCCGCAUUGAAGGGCGGCGAACCUGGUCAGGUCGGGAACGAAGCAGCCAUAGUCGAUUCCUUCAAGUGCCGGGGGUCAGGCUCGCCUUU
rnacentral:SRP_RNA from 1 species